UUAGAGUUUGAUUCCUGGCUCAGGACGAACGCUGGCGGCGUGCUUAACACAUGCAAGUCUACGAGAACGAGGUAGCAAUAUCUUUAGUAAAGUGGCGUACGGGUGCGUAACACGUAAGUAAUCUACCUUUGGGUUCGGAAUAACUUCGGGAAAUCGGAGCUAAUACCGGAUAAUGCAGCGGCACCGCAUGGUGAUGUUGUUAAAGUUUGUGUAAUGCCUAAAGAUGAACUUGCGUCUGAUUAGCUAGUUGGUGAGGUAAUGGCUCACCAAGGCUGCGAUCAGUAGCUGGUCUGAGAGGAUGAUCAGCCACACUGGAACUGAGACACGGUCCAGACUCCUACGGGAGGCAGCAGUGAGGAAUAUUGGGCAAUGCCCGAAAGGGUGACCCAGCAACGCCGCGUGGAGGAUGAAGGUCGUAAGAUUGUAAACUCCUGUUAGAGGGGAAGAAUAACUAAGUUUGGAGCUUAGUAAUGACUGUACCCUCAGAGAAAGCCCCGGCUAACUACGUGCCAGCCGCCGCGGUAAUUCAA
rnacentral:rRNA from 1 species